AAAGGAUAUAAUUAUAAUAUUGGGGGCUAUAUAAUAGCAUUGAUGAACAUACAUGAUUAUAGCUACGGACAGCUGUACGACGACACGUCAUUUUGACCAGUGAUUUUACAGUGCGCCGAUACAAGAUGGCUUGGAAUUCAAUAAGUGCUCUCAACUAUUCCGACUCCGUGAAGGAAAUUCUUGAGGAGUUUAAGAAAGACGGUGUAACUAUCGAAGAGGGACGCAAAAUGGCGAUAGAGCAGAAUAUUCGCUCAGAUCAUCCAAUAUGGUCACAAUUGAAUAGAGUGCCAAAUACGCUUUAUAACAUGUGCCGCUGGUCACUUAGGAAUCGAAGAAACAUUUCCCCGCGGGAGCUACCGAAUAUGUUAAUAAAGGAUAUACACCCUUUUAUCAAAGCUAAGAACGUGGAACGACGAAAGGAAUUCACACCUUGACAAGGUAAACAAAAAUCAAACCCAUUGAAGUAGUAGACAGUGCCUCAGAUGAUGACGACGACAACUAUAUAUCUCGGGCU